GACGAACGCUGGCGGCGUGCCUAAUACAUGCAAGUAGAACGCACAGAUCAUACCGUUGCUUGCUACACCAUAGACGGUGAGGUGCGAACGGGUGAGUAACGCGUAGGUAACCUGUCAGGUAGCGGGGGAUAACUAUUGGAAACGAGAGCUAAUACCGCAUAAUAUUGAUUAUUGCAUGAUAAUUAAUAGAAAGGCGCAAUUGCACCGCUACCAGAGGGACCUGCGUUGUAUUAGCUAGUAGGGGAGGUAACGGCUCACCUAGGCGACGAUACAUAGCCGACCUGAGAGGGUGAUCGGCCACACUGGGACUGAGACACGGCCCAGACUCCUACGGGAGGCAGCAGUAGGGAAUCUUCGGCAAUGGACGAAAGUCUGACCGAGCAACGCCGCGUGAGUGAAGAAGGUUUUCGGAUCGUAAAGCUCUGUUGUAAGAGAAGAACGGGUGUGAGAGUGGAAAGUUCACACUGUGACGGUAUCUUACCAGAAAGGGACGGCUAACUACGUG
rnacentral:rRNA from 1 species